rnacentral:lncRNA from 1 species
CCUCAAACUGACUUCUUUGUUUUCCUUUACUCAACCCUAGCUUCCUAGUGGGUCAAGAUGGUGUAGUAUAUGACGGAGUUGGCUGGACUAUUGAAGGCUCUCACACCUAUGGAUACAAUGAUAUUGCUCUUGGAAUUGCCUUUAUGGGAAACUUUGUAGAAAAGCCUCCAAAUGAAGCUUCACUGGAGGCAGCCCAGAGCCUGAUCCAGUGUGCUGUGGCCAUGGGGUACCUGGCCUCCAACUACCUGCUAAUGGGCCACAGUGAUGUGUCCAACAUCCUGUCCCCUGGACAAGCACUAUACAACAUCAUCAAGACAUGGCCUCACUUCAAGCACUGAAAAAGACCCC